rnacentral:rRNA from 1 species
GAUGAACGCUAGCUACAGGCUUAACACAUGCAAGUCGAGGGGUAACGAGAGGAAAGCUUGCUUUCCUUGUUGACGACCGGCGCACGGGUGAGUAACGCGUAUCCAACCUGCCCCCAACUAGGGAAUAACCUUGCGAAAGUAAGACUAAUACCCUAUAAUUUCCUCAGAUGUCAUCUGACGAGGAAUAAAGAUUUAUCGGUUGUGGAUGGGGAUGCGUCUGAUUAGCUUGUUAGCGGGGUAACGGCACACCAAGGCAACGAUCAGUAGGGGUUCUGAGAGGAAGGUCCCCCACAUUGGAACUGAGACACGUUCCAAACUCCUACGGGAGGCAGCAGUGAGUAAUAUUUGUCAAUGGGCGGAAGCCUGAACCAGCCAAGUAGCGUGCAGGAUGACGGCCCUAUGGGUUGUAAACUGCUUUUAUACAGGAAUAAAGUUAGCCACGUGUGGUUAUUUGUAGGUACUGUAUGAAUAAGGACCGGCUAAUUCCGUGCCAGGCGCCGCGGUAA